UUGUAGCUUCUCAAAGAUGAUAUUAGGAAUUUCUGCUGCAGUCCUGAUCUACUUCUGCUGCCCUCCUAGAAGACAGUACUUUGAAAAAAGAUCUUGCAGGUCUCCUUGACUUACAAGGCCCAAAAAAACCCCAACAAGGUCUUCAAGGAUGAAAAGUGCUGAAGGCGGAGGCUUUACUUUCUUCUGCAGUGAAGCCCAGCCAAAGACCUCGUGGCUGGCACACAGGCUGUCCUGGGGCCACCACCAGCACACACAGCCAGCACCAGAAAAGGCAGGUCUGCUCUGGAUGCUGAUCAACAAUUUAGCUUUACUUGGAUGACUUGGAACAAUCCUGACUCUUUCAAGGCUGAGUGGAAAAAUGUUCCCAGCAUGUCUAAGGGAAGACCUCGAAGAUUUGUCUACAGUUCUUAUGGCUGGUGCAUCCCACUGUGCAUUUGAUUCCCACGUUUACAUUCUGAGCAGAUAGCAGUUAGCCUUCACCAGAAUACUUUUUUGCAAACCCAUCAGCAUAUCACAGAGCAAUAUUAAUGCUUUAAAGUGCAAGUCCCAGACACCCCAGCUCUGCUAGGAGCAAGCAGCAGGCUAAAGCAUCCAGUGGUAAAUAAGCUUAGCAGAUUCUUUGUAAAAAGUAAGAAAAGGGAAGCGUUGGAAUAAACCAACAAAAUGUUUGUGCGUCCAUUUGCCUUUGUAAAUUUGCUAGAAAGGGACACACGUGGCUUGCACAUAGCACUUUUCGUUUGUAAUUUGCAUGUCUCUAGUUUGUUUAUAUCAAUGUUUGUUUGUCUAAUAGAAGCUUAAACCUCCCUGCAAAACUUACCUCUCAUUCUUUAGGCAGCAAUGGGUGCCAUCGUAUCACCGCAACCCAAAUAAACA